rnacentral:rRNA from 1 species
UACGGAGGGUGCAAGCGUUAUCCGGAAUUACUGGGCGUAAAGGGUCCGCAGGUGGCAGUGUAAGUCUGCUGUCAAAGAAUGAGGCUUAACCUUAUCAAGGCAGUGGAAACUACACAGCUAGAGUACGGUCGGGGUAGAAGGAAUUCCUGGUGUAGCGGUGAAAUGCGUAGAGAUCAGGAAGAACACCGGUGGCGAAAGCGUACUGCUGGACCUGUACUGACACUGAGGGACGAAAGCUAGGGGAGCGAAUGGG